GACGAACGCUGGCGGCGUGCCUAAUACAUGCAAGUUGAGCGCUGAAGGUUGGUACUUGUACCAACUGGAUGAGCAGCGAACGGGUGAGUAACGCGUGGGGAAUCUGCCUUUGAGCGGGGGACAACAUUUGGAAACGAAUGCUAAUACCGCAUAAAAACUUUAAACACAAGUUUUAAGUUUGAAAGAUGCAAUUGCAUCACUCAAAGAUGAUCCCGCGUUGUAUUAGCUAGUUGGUGAGGUAAAGGCUCACCAAGGCGACGAUACAUAGCCGACCUGAGAGGGUGAUCGGCCACAUUGGGACUGAGACACGGCCCAAACUCCUACGGGAGGCAGCAGUAGGGAAUCUUCGGCAAUGGACGAAAGUCUGACCGAGCAACGCCGCGUGAGUGGAGAAGGUUUUCGGAUCGUAAAACUCUGUUGGUAGAGAAGAACGUUGGUGAGAGUGGAAAGCUCAUCAAGUGACGGUAACUACCCAGAAAGGGACGGCUAACUACGUG
rnacentral:rRNA from 1 species